UGGAUAAGGCAUGCAAGUCGAACGCCCCAGUUUACUGGGGAGUGGCAAACGGGUGAGUAAUACAUUGGUAUCUACCUUGAAGUCUAGAAUAACCCAGAGAAAUCUGGGCUAAUACCAGAUAGUCCCGAAAGGGUAAAGAUUUAUCGCUUCAAGAAGAGCCAAUGCACUAUCAGCUAGUUGGCGAGGUAAUGGCUCACCAAGGCUAUGACGGUUAGGAGGCCCGAGAGGGUGUUCUCCCACAUUGGCACUGAGACACUGGCCAAACUCCUACGGGAGGCUGCAGUCGAGAAUCUUCGUCAAUGCGCGAAAGUGCGAACGAGCGACGCCGCGUGAACGAUGAAGCCCUUCGGGGCGUAAAGUUCUUUUAUUAGGGAAAAAUUUUGAUGUUACCUAUUGAAUAAGAGGUUGCUAACUCUGUGCCAGCAGCAGCGGUAAUACAGAGACCUCAAGCGUUAUCCGGAUUUAUUGGGCGUAAAGAGUCUGUAGGUGGAAUAAAUAGUCAGAUGCCAAAUCUUAGGGCUCAACCUUAAAACUGCAUCCGAAACGUUUAUUCUAGAGGAUGGUAGAGGCAAGUAGAACUUAUGGUGUAGCAGUAAAAUGCGUUGAUAUCAUAAGGAAUGCCAAAGGCGAAGGCAUCUUGCUGGACCAUUCCUGACACUGAGAGACGAAAGCGUGGGUAGCGAAUGGGAUUAGAUACCCCAGUAGUCCACGCUGUAAACGAUGGAUAUUAGACAUUAGAAGUGUCGACCCUUCUAGUGUCGAAGCUAACGCGUUAAAUAUCCCGCCUGGGAAGUACGGCCGCAAGGCUAAAACUUAAAGGAAUAGACGGGGACCUGCACAAGCGGUGGAGCAUGUGGUUUAAUUCGACGGUAAACGAGGAGCCUUACCAAGGCUUGAAAUCUCUGGAAUCCCGAUGAAAGUUGGGAGUGCCGCAAGGAACCAGAUGACAGGUGCUGCAUGGUUGUCGUCGGCUCGUGCCGUGAGGUGUUCGGUUAAGUCCAGCAACGAGCGCAACCCUUGUUGCUAGUUAAAUUUUCUAGCGAGACUGCCCCGCGAAACGGGGAGGAAGGUGGGGAUGACGUCAAGUCAGCAUGGCCUUUAUAUCUUGGGCUACACACACGCUACGAUGGACAGAACAAUAGGUUGCAACAGUGCGAACUGGAGCUAAUCCCCAAAGCUGUCCUCAGUUCGGAUUGCAGGCUGAAACCCGCCUGCAUGAAGUUGGAGUUGCUAGUAACCGCAUAUCAGCAUGGUGCGGUGAAUACGUUCUCGGGCCUUGUACACACCGCCCGUCACGUCAUGAAAGCCGGUAACAC
rnacentral:rRNA from 1 species